rnacentral:rRNA from 1 species
GCUUAAUCACUUAUUUAACCCAACAAUAUUAAUAACAAAACAUAACAUAACACCAUAAACUAAACCAUUUUUUUACCUGAGUAUGGGAGACAGAAAAGGUUCAAUCAAAGCAAUAGAAAAAGUACCGCAAGGAAAGCUGAAAGAGAAAUGAAAUAACCCAUAUAAGCACUAAAAAACAAAGACUAAACCUUGUACCUUUUGCAUCAUGAUUUAGCCAGCACCCUCAAGCAAAGAGACCUUUAGUUUGAAACCCCGAAACCAGGUGAGCUACCCCGAGACAGCCUAUUUAAAUUUAGGGCUAACCCGUCUCUGUGGCAAAAGAGUGGGAAGAGCUCCGGGUAGAAGUGACAGACCUACCGAACCUGGUGAUAGCUGGUUGCCUGAGAAGUGGAUAGAAGUUCAGCCUCGUAUAUCCCCAAAUCAACAUACAUAUUAUUAAGACAAUAAGGGAAACAUACGAGAGUUAGUUAAAGGGGGUACAGCCCCUCUAACAAAGGAUACAACCUUUACAGGAGGAUAAAGAUCAUAAUAUAUAAAACAUACUGUUUUAGUGGGCCUAAAAGCAGCCAUCUAAAUAGAAAGCGUUAAAGCUCAGACAGAAAGAAGUUUAUUAUACUGAUAAAAAAUCUUAUUCCCCUAACAAUAUCAGGCUAACCCAUGCCCACAUGGAAGAAAUUAUGCUAAAAUGAGUAACAAGAAGACCUGCUCUUCUCCAAGCACAAGUGUAAACCAGAUCGGACAAACCACUGGAAAUUAACGAACCCAACCCAAGAGAGUAAUGUGAAUAACAAAAAAAUCAAGAAAACCCCACAAUUUUAAACAAUCGUUAACCCCACACUGGAGUGCUACUUUAAAGGAAAGACUAAAAGAAAGGGAAGGAACUCGGCAAACACAAGCCUCGCCUGUUUACCAAAAACAUCGCCUCCUGCAACCAAACCUAGUAUAGGAGGUCCAGCCUGCCCAGUGACUACGGGUUCAACGGCCGCGGUAUUUUGACCGUGCAAAGGUAGCGCAAUCACUUGUCUUUUAAAUAGAGACCUGUAUGAAUGGCUAAACGAGGGCUUAACUGUCUCCCCCUUCAAGUCAGUGAAAUU